CAAUAGCGUAUAUUAAAGCUGUUGCGGUUAAAAAGCUCGUAGUUGGAUUUCUGUCAAGGACAACUGGUCCGCCCCUCGGGUGAGCACAUAGUUUGGUCUUGGCAUCUUGUUGGAAACUGUUGCUGCACUUGGUUGUGUGGCGCAGUGUCCAGCACUUUCACUUUGAGGAAAUUGGAGUGUUUCAAGCAGGCACAUGCCUUUGGACACAGUAGCAUGGAAUAAUUAGAUUGGGCUUUUGCUCCAACUUGUCGGUUUCUGGAGCUGAGGUGAGAAUUAAUGGGGAUUGUUGGGGGCAUCCGAAUUUAGCCGUCAGAGGUGAAAUUCUUGGAUCUGCUAAAGACGGACAACUGCGAAAGCAUUUGCCAAGGAUGUUUUCAUUGA
rnacentral:rRNA from 1 species